UUCACUUCAUUAGAGAGUAGG
rnacentral:piRNA from 1 species